rnacentral:tRNA from 1 species
UCCCGGUUCGUCUAAUGGCAGGACGGCGGCCUUUGGAGCCGCUUGUCUAGGUUCGAGUCCUAGACCGGGAGC